rnacentral:lncRNA from 1 species
GCCGAUCCCUCCACCGACUGCGGCCUAAAAUCACAGACGGUCUCCCCGGCACACUCCAUUUCUCCCCCCCCUGCCGGAGAGGGAUAUCCCGGCAAUGACAGACUGCAGCCCGAAACAGGAGAACCAAAAUCGGCUUACCUGCACCAUCGGACCAAUGAUGCACAAAAUGGCAGACGCCAUAAAUUACCCAGCACCAGGGCCCCCGCUGCCCUCACUAUCGGAGCGGACUGACCGUCUGCUCGCUGCUUUUUGGGCCAGGCUCUCUACCCGCAGGUGCACCUUGGUUGAAACCCCGCCGACUGCAAUCCCACGAAACUCCGAGCAGCAGCCUGUGACUCUGGGACGGGCCUCAGGGGAGAAUUGGAAAGCGGGAAGAAGGAGAUGGGCAGGUAGACGGCAGCCCCAGUACCUUAAUCGCUGACCAGUGGUGGGUCACUCAAUGCCUCAACGUGGACUCACCACAUGGUCACCCCCUCAGCGCCCCUUACCUCACCAAUUUGCUCAACGAAGGGGAAGAGUGCGGUACCCACAAGGAGGAAAGCACCAGAGCCACCUCCAGUCUAGCCCAAACCCCCUACACGCUACAGGGACUAGUCCGAAAAAGCUACAUACCUCUGUGCAAACACCCACAUGGAACACCGCACGCUGCCUCCCUGGGAAGCCUGGAAGCAGUCUCCAUCGACCGAAGGGGUCCUUGGUAUCACUCCCCGCCCAGCACCAACCUUGCUACCUACAGGGAUCGGAUGAACAGAGAAAAGGGCCCCGAGAACGUGAAAGGCAUUACCACACACUGACAGACAUGAUUUACCUGUGGCAACACUACCCGAGUGACCCGUGAUACAUGAUUAAGGCUUAAUUUAAGUGUUGUUUUUCUUUUUCUUUUUUCCUCUCUUUUCACAUUUCCCUAACCAUACUCUUAAAGCAUGUGCAAUAAGGGGAGGAGCACAGGAGGUUGACAUCGAUAGUUCAACUCGUUAACCUAACUAUGUUCAUGUUUAAGUAUGCACUGGUUAUGAUGAUUAGCAAUAGUGAGCGAGAGCCAUGAACCUAACAUCUGAGAUAGGAUACCCAAAAUACUAACCAAUCUGUCCAAUCACUUUUUCUCUGUUAUCUCUGUUGACAAGCUAACCUAAGCCUUAGACAUUGUCCUCUACUUGCUCCAUGAGUCAUAAAUGCAACAGCAAUAUAGAAAUAACCAAAGCCCUAUAAUCCAGUGGUUGUCUCAUUUUGCAUGUAUAUUUCACACCUAACCCAUAGGUACGCCUGAGGGUCACCAUCUAUCUAUGUAUAACCUCUCACGCACAGGUUAGAUUAGAAUCCUGAGUUAUGCUUGUUUGUAUCUUGUUAUGUAAACCUGCCUAGCUAGCCUGCGACCUAUUAUCUCUACUAAAUAUAAAACUGUGCAAGAACCAUCGCAUACCCCAAUGUUACUAAUGUCGAAAAAAAGCAUGAGGAUUGUCGUUGGGGUACCCCAUGCAAGUUUGUUAUGUUCAUAUGCACUGCAAAAAUAAAGAAUAAAAAAAAAAAAUCCCUUCUUCGUUGGAAUUUAAAAAGGAAAUAAAAUCUCAUGCUGAUGUGAUAGAUCCUCUCCAAAUAAAAAGAAGGUCAUCUAUAUACCUUGAAUAAGACACCGGACAUUUUGUCCAGCCAUGUCGACUCAAAACAUAUCAAUCCUCCCAUUCUGCCAUGUAAAGGUUGGCAUAGCUGAGCGCAAAUCUAGUGCCCACCGCUGUGCCGCUUGUCUGUAAAUAAAAACAAUUUUUAAACCAAAAGUAGUUAUUUUUGAAAAAAAAAACAUAUCAAUGCCUCAAUCAAAAAGUCGAUUUGAAUCUGAAUAUGAAUCUCACAGCUUGGCAACCUUUAUCAUGUUGGAUUAUGGUGUACAGUGACUGUACAUCACAGGUGAUUAAUACAAAAUUUUGUUCCCAAAACAAUGUUAUCCAAUUUUUAGAGAAGGUCCAUGGUGUCUUUGAGAUAUGAUUUUGUCUUGAUGACAUAGGGCUGCAAAAGAAUAUGGAUAUAUUCUGAUAAGUUGGAAAGGAGGGAUCCAAUACCAGAGCUGAUAGGUCGUCCUGGAGGAUUAUUCAAGUUUUUGUGGAUCUUGGGCAGGAAAUAGAUGACAUGGAUUCUGGGGUGUAUAACUUGGAUGUAUCGGUAUUCUUUUUGAUCCAGGAUUCCAGCAUCUAAUCUUUUGUCCAAAUACUUUUUGAAUUUGCUCU